rnacentral:tRNA from 1 species
GCCCCCGUAGCUCAAGGGAUAGAGCGCCAGUCUUCUAAACUGGAUGUUGCACGUUCGAGUCGUGCCGGGGGUG